ACUGGAGAUUGAAUCCAGGGCCUCACAUAUGCUGGGCACACUCAGGUCCUAAUAUUUUUUUAAUACGUAUGUAUACUAUAGUGAAGACCUGUUGUGAGCUGGGCUGUUGAAGGCUCAUAAGGCAUUGUGUGGAGGGUGGAGAGAAAGUGGAACUUCUGAGUGCAAUGGGAAACCUUUAGUGGGUGUGUCCCAGUUUGCCUGCAGCUGUGUGGGGGAGGGGUUUAUUUAGGAUAGCUGGAAAUAAAGGAGGGAUGAGCCAGUAUAAGGAAGGAGCCCCAGAAGCCUGCAGGUGAGGUGUAGCUGGGACCCACCUUAGUGCCUAACCGGUGGUCAUUGCUCAAAUCCUUUGCCCAGGAUUUCAAGGCCAGUGACCACCUUCACUGCCCCUAGUGCUAUCACCAGCUCAGUUCUCCCAAAGAUCCAUUUUUAAAGUUGACUGCCCUAAAGUUUUACUGUCUUUGCAUUUGGUUAUGGAUUGAUCCCUGGCUUUUACUAGACCGUUUCACAGCCGGAUGAGGUCUUUCAUCCCUAUCUCCCAGGACUUUGUAGCAAGGACCAGAGACCCCCAUACGUACUGCUCUGAAAGUUACUGCUGGCAGGUCUGGGACCACAAUUCCCCAGGGAAUUCUCUUCCCCAGCCGGAAGUCCCAGUGGCAAGCCUGGGGCUGUGGAGCUGGAAGGUCCCUGGCCCUGCCUCCCCAGACAUUAGUAGGGCGGGACUCAAUUCCGGGGGCGACACGUCCUAGGAGAGCUAGACGGAAGCACUGGGACUGACACGUGGACUUGGGCGGUGCUGCCCUGUGGGUUGGCCUAGGCCUGAGGGGAGGGCACGGUACUGGGACACAGCGGUGCCCAUGCCAUCUCAGCGCUCCAGCCUGAUGCAGUCAACACCAGAGGAAGCCGGCAAGACCCCAUCUGCAGCAGCAGAGGAUACACAAUGGUCCAGGCCUGAGUGCCAGGCAUGGACAGGGAUGCUACUCCUGGGCACCUGCCUGCUGUACUGCGCUCGAGUCACCAUGCCCGUCUGCACCGUUGCCAUGAGCCAGGACUUCGGCUGGAACAAGAAGGAGGCUGGUAUCGUGCUCAGCAGCUUCUUCUGGGGCUACUGCCUGACUCAGGUGGUGGGCGGCCACCUUGGGGAUCGCAUCGGAGGAGAGAAGGUCAUCCUGCUGUCAGCCUCCACCUGGGGCUUCAUUACUGUCGUCACACCACUGCUUGCCCACCUUGGCAGUGGCCACCUGGCCUUCAUGACAUUCUCUCGAAUCCUUACGGGUCUGCUCCAAGGUGUUUACUUCCCGGCCCUGACCAGUCUGCUGUCCCAGAGAGUUCAGGAGAGUGAAAGGGCCUUUACCUACAGCACUGUGGGUGCCGGCUCCCAGUUCGGGACCCUGGUGACUGGGGGCGUAGGAUCGGUGCUCCUGGACUGGUGUGGCUGGCAGAGUGUCUUCUACUUCUCCGGUGGUCUCACCUUGCUCUGGGUGUACUACGUGUACAGGUACCUGCUGAAUGAGAAAGACCUUAUUCUGGCCCUGGGUGUCCUGGCACAAGGCCUGCCUAUGGCCAGGCCCUCCAAAGUGCCCUGGAGACAACUCUUCCGGAAGCCCUCUGUCUGGGCGGCAGUCUGCUCCCAGCUGUCCUCGGCUUGCUCCUUCUUCAUUCUGCUCUCCUGGCUGCCCACCUUCUUCAAGGAGACCUUCCCCCACUCCAAGGGCUGGGUCUUCAAUGUAGUGCCCUGGCUGCUGGCAAUUCCUGCUAGUCUAUUCAGUGGCUUCCUUUCUGAUCGCCUCAUCAGUCAGGGUUACAGAGUCAUCACAGUGCGUAAGUUCAUGCAGGUGAUGGGCCUUGGUCUAUCAAGCAUUUUUGCCUUGUGUCUGGGUCAUACCACAAGCUUCCUCAAGGCUAUUAUCUUUGCAUCAGCUUCCGUUAGUUUCCAGACCUUCAACCACAGCAGCCCCUUCAGGCCAAGCAGAGGUGGCCAUGCCUGUGCCACUCACAUGCCUUCCUGUUUCCUGCAGUGGUAUUUCCGUCAAUAUUCAGGACCUGGCCCCAUCCUGUGCUGGUUUUCUGUUUGGUGUGGCCAACACUGCAGGGGCCUUGGCAGGCCAGAAGAGGACAUCUGAUCCUCCAGAGCUGGUGUUAUAGGCAGUUAUAAGAUGCCCAGAGUGGAAGAACAAAACUCAGCCUGGCCCUGUAGGAUGGGACCUGAGCAUUUCAUCAGGGGGAGCUUCCUAAGAGCCUCAGGCUGUGCUUCCAGAAGCCUCCAUGGUUGAGUUCCUGAGACUGGGGAGACGUAUCCAAGAAGGCCCCUGUGCUGACUACUGUUUUUCGAUUUAACACAGGUGAGAGUCAUUUGGGGAGAAGGAGCCUCAAUUGAGAAAAUGCCUACAGGCGAUCUGGAUGGGCCCUGUGGAGCCAUUUUCUCCAUUAGCAUUGAUAUGGGAAGGCCCCGCCCAUUGUGGGUGAUACCACCCCCAGGCAAAUGAUCCUGAGUUGUAUAAGAAAGUAGAUUGAACAAGUUUCUGCCUUGGGUUCCUGCCCCAGUUCCCCUCAGUGAUGCCGUGUGACCUGAAAGUUGUAAGCUGAAAUGACCUUUUCUUCCUGAAUUUGCUUUUGGUCAUAAUGUUUAGUCACAGCAAUGAAAACCCUAAGAAAGACCUGAGGAGUGGAGCCUGCCUCUUCAGUCUCCUCUCCUUCCUCAUCCUCCUGAUUACAGAUGAGAGCAGUGAGCAGCAUGCCCGCCCCCCACUGUCCCUCAGCUCAGGAACGCAGGAAUCUCUAUGCAGUGUGGAAUGGUGGCUGCCUACGUUUAAAGAAAUCAACUUCUCCAAGAGGAUAACACUGAGGAGAGAUUGGGGGUGGGGUGAAGAGUACCGGAGCUUAGACUCAUAUGUGCAAAGGCCUGGUGUGUGUGCAGGCUCUGCGUUAGCUGUGGAGAAGCUUCUGGAAUUCCCUGAUCCUUUUUGGUUCUCUGCAAGGUUGGCUUGGGAGCUGAGGAUGGAUUAUGGGGAAACAGAGGCCCACCCACUACGGGGUUGUCAGACUGCUGUUCUUCCUCCCACAGUGCCCCUGCAUAGUGGGUACAGACAGGAGAGAAGCCAGGGAGGACUGAUGAGGACUGGCAUGCUUGGCAGUAGUUACCCAAGAUCCCACUUGGUACAGUGAACAGGCCCUGACAGUCUGGGAGGUAGCAAAGGGUCAGGUCCCAGGAGAAGGGGACAGGUUGAGAGAGGAGAAACAGGGCAGUGGGAGCCGGCCCACAAGGCCCUGGAGGCAGGGAGAGGUUGGGUGCAGGGAUAUUGGCUGUUAGGUACUAUCGGCAGACAUAAUGUGCUCUGUAACAGGCCAGCCUCUCUGAGAAUGGGAUGUAUGGAUACAUGGCAGACCCAAAUACAUACAGUCUUAGCCCAAAUGCCCCUCAACAUGCCCUAGGCCCCUCCCCAUUUCUCUGUUCCCUUUCAGGAACUUUCAGUACCACAGUCACCAAACCUCAUAAGGAUUCUAUUUCCCUUGGCGUCCAGUCUGCCCCUCAUGGUGUCACCGUGCUCCUGGCAUGAGAGGUGGAUUCUCCAGCACUGAGGGCCCCUGCUGUCUAUCCCAAGUCUUGGAGCAGUGGGCCUGGGGCCUGGGAAAUGCUUAAGAAUGCUCAGCAUCAGAUGCCGUAGCCCUUGCCCCUCUGCUACAUAAUUUUUGUCCUACUCAGCUUCCCAUGUUACACACUGUUAAUGGACAGAGAUGAUCCACAUUACAGCCGUUUUGUGCUGACUUAGAGGCCCAGUGGGCAUGGGAGGCUGGUGGCCCAGGCCCACUCUAAGUGAAUAGCUUAUGAGGUAAUCAGGCCUUAUGACACACAGUGAAGCCCAGUGGUAGUCUCUAAAGGUGACCGAGGAGAGUGUGAGAGCUGGUGACUUCCAACCUGUCAGCUCAGAGCACUGAGGAAUCAGCCCUGAAGCUGCAGGCCCUUGGCCUCCUUGGGACCCAACAGCUCCUGAGCUGGUUUCUCAGGACUGGCUCAUGCUGACCCCAGUCUCCUCUCUCUGGGACCCACUCUGGAGCUGCAGAGCUACUUCCCUUCUUACUGCCCUCAGAGGUGGCUCUCUGCAGUCCUGCUGAGGAUCUGGAUCCAAACUUGGAUCUAAACUUGUUUGCAUCUUAGAAGCUGCAGACUUGGCUAGAGGCCAAGCUCCUCUGAGCCUUAGCCUCCACAUCAAGAAUUGGGUUCUGACAGGCAAACACUCCUCAGGAAGUGGGUAGGUUGAGGCAGGCAGGUGUUCUGUCAGGAAGUGGGUAGGGUCCUAGGAAGCAGAUGAAGGCCAAUGUUGCUAUGUGAGUCUAUACCAGGCAUCUGCUGGCAAAGCUGCCUCCUGGGACAUGUUUACAGGCUAGGUUUCCAAUCACAGUGAUGCCAGCUGCCUCAGUUUCCCCUUCUUUCCUAUAGCAGUGCUCUGCUGGGCAAAACCCAGGCUUCAGUCCAUGUCCUCAGUGCCCCUCUUGACUUCACUCUGCCCAGGGCUCCAUCACCACCGUCCUCCACUUCCUGGGCCUCCCUGAACGUCCUCUUCUCCUCCCCCACAUGCCCCUGUGCUGCCUCAGCCCCUCCCACACCCUCUUCCUUGCCUGUUGAGCCUCUUGAUUCUACCAGGGUUUGGCCCAGGUGUGCCCUCUGUGGGACGGAGAUCAGUGCAGUCACCUUUGCCGCCCAGUAGGCUGCAGAUGCUGUAGUCAGUAACUCACUGUCUUUACUCUGAAAUGACUUUUUUAAAAAGUACAGAUUUUUUUUUUAUUUUUCUGAGAUUACAAUAUAAUUGAGUUAUUUCUUCCUUCUCUUUACUCCCUCCUAAAUGUUUUAAAUGAUUUCAUUUUGUAUGUAUGCAUGUAUGUUUACCUGCAUAUGUGUGUCAGAUCACCUUCAACUGGAAUCAUGGAUAGUUGUGAGCUGUGGAUGCUGUGCUGGGAAUUCUCUGUAAUAAUAGCAAGUGCUUAAAACCAAGCCAUUUCUCCAGCCCUGUUGUUUGGAUUUUUGAAACUUUCUAUAUAUCUCUGGUUGUCAUGUAACCCACCAUAUAUAUAUCAGGCUGGCCUCGAACUCACAGAGAUCCACUUGCCUCUGACACCUGAGUCCUGGGAUUAAAGGCAUGUGCCCAGCUGGUUUUUUUUUUUUUUUUUUAUUUGUGUGUGUGUGUGUGUGUUUAAUAUAAUCACAAAACAAGCCAACCAUUUGUGUUGUUAAGGCUCAUUUCAGCCACACCAAAUGCAUUAUAAUUGAGCAACUAGCA